UACGGAGGGGGCUAGCGUUGUUCGGAAUUACUGGGCGUAAAGCGCACGUAGGCGGCUUUGCAAGUUAGAGGUGAAAGCCCGGGGCUCAACUCCGGAAUUGCCUUUAAAACUGCAUCGCUAGAAUUGUGGAGAGGUAAGUGGAAUUCCGAGUGUAGAGGUGAAAUUCGUAGAUAUUCGGAAGAACACCAGUGGCGAAGGCGACUUACUGGACACAUAUUGACGCUGAGGCGCGAAAGCCAGGGGAGCAAACGGG
rnacentral:rRNA from 1 species